CUUACCUGCCUACCAGCUGCACUACCGCACACUACCGGACAACACUAUAAUCCUGCAGGAUGCAGCGCCCUACCCCUAGCCAGACAUGGCUGGUCAAGGCGCUGGUGAGGAGGAGCGUGAAGAGUAUCACCUUGUGGUUAGCAAGACCUUCAGAAGUGAGGAAGCCGGAUACGAGUUCUAUGAUGAGUAUGCAAAGGUCGAAUGGUUCAAUAUUAGGAAGCAGAGGUGAAGAAGGAUUCUUGAUCACUAAUUCGUCAUCACAGAUGUGUUAAGUGGAUUUAAACGCCACACAUGGACAUAGCUUGUACAAAUGUUUUCUUGCUGCUUUGAGUAGAAGCCGUAGCUAAUUUGCUGGAAAAAAAACUCAAUAUUGCAUGUUUAAUCAAGAUUGUUUAUUGCA